rnacentral:rRNA from 1 species
CUACGUGCCAGCAGCCGCGGUAAUACGUAGGUCCCGAGCGUUGUCCGGAUUUAUUGGGCGUAAAGCGAGCGCAGGCGGUUAGAUAAGUCUGAAGUUAAAGGCUGUGGCUUAACCAUAGUACGCUUUGGAAACUGUUUAACUUGAGUGCAGAAGGGGAGAGUGGAAUUCCAUGUGUAGCGGUGAAAUGCGUAGAUAUAUGGAGGAACACCGGUGGCGAAAGCGGCUCUCUGGUCUGUAACUGACGCUGAGGCUCGAAAGCGUGGGGAGCGAACAGGAUUAGAUACCCUGGUAGUCCAUGCCGUAAACGUUGGGCACUAGGUGUGGGGGACAUUCCACGUUUUCCGCGCCGUAGCUAACGCAUUAAGUGCCCCGCCUGGGGAGUACGGCCGCAAGGCUAAAACUCAAAGAAAUUGACGGGGGCCCGCACAAGCGGCGGAGCAUGCGGAUUAAUUCGAUGCAACGCGAAGAACCUUACCAAGGCUU